GACAGAAAGGAAUCAGUCUUUAACAGGAAGUGGACCCAAAAAGGUCUCCAUCAGGUCCCAAAGACCAUCAGGUCCCAAAUCAGGACCAUCGGGUCCCAAAUUAAGACCAACAGGGCCCAAAUCAAGACCAUCAGGUCCCAGAGACCAUCAGGUCCCAAAUCAAGACCAUCAGGUCUCAAAUCAAGACCAUCAGGUCCCAGAGACCAUCAGGUCCCAGAGACCAUCAGGUCCCAAAUCAAGACCAUCAGGUCCCAAAUCAAGACCAUCAGGUCCCAGAGACCAUCAGGUCCCAAAUCAAGACCAUCAGGUCCCAAAUCAAGACCAUCGGGUUCCAAAUCAGGACCAUCAGGUCCCAAAUCAAGACCAACAGAGCCCAAAUCAAGACCAUGAGGUCCCAAAUCAAGACCAACAGGUCCCAAGCCGUGUCCAGCUGAUAACAAUGAUUUUAGACCUGUGGCCCUGACUUCAAUUGUUAUGAAAAGUUUUGAGAAAUACAUCGUCAAUUUGGCACUUGACCCAUACCAGUUUGCUUAUAGGCAGGGGAGAGGUACUGAUGACGCCAUCAACAGCAUCACCCACUUCACUGUCAAGCACUUGGAAUGCCCAAAAGCAUAUACACGGAUUUUAUUUAUUGAUUUUAGCUCAGCUUUUAAUACACUUCAACCCCAUCUGCUCAUCUCAAAACUAAGGCAGAUUAGUGUCAACCCUUUUUAGUCAAGUGGUAUUUUUCCUUUUUAACUAAUCGAAGUCAACAGGUAAGAGUCAAUAACACCCUCUCAGAAUGCAAAUUAAUCAGCACAGGUGCCCCGCAGGGUUGUGUCAGCUCCCCGGUCCUUUUUGCACUUUACACAAAUGAAUGUACAAACAGCCACCCAGGGAACCUUGUUUUUAAAUUUUCUGAUGAUACCGUCAUCCUCAGCCUACUGCACAAAGACUCAAGCCCUUCAGCCUAUUUUUCUGAAAUAGAAAACUUUGUGGAAUGGUGUGAUGCUCACCAUCUCAUUUAAAAAAAAAAAAAAAACAACUAAA